rnacentral:rRNA from 1 species
CCCUUAGAUGUUCUGGGCCGCACGCGCGCUACACUGACGAAUGCAACGAGCUAUAACCUUGGCCGAAAGGUCUGGGUAAUCUCCAAAUUUCGUCGUGAUGGGGAUAGAUUAUUGCAAUUAUUAAUCUUCAACGAGGAAUGCCUAGUAAGCGCAAGUCAUCAGCUUGCGUUGAUUACGUCCCUGCCCUUUGUACACACCGCCCGUCGCUCCUACCGAUUGAAUGGUCCGGUGAAGCGUUCGGACCGUGGCCUUUGGACGGUUCGCCGUCUGUUGGCUGCGGGAAGUUCGUUAAACCUUAUCAUUUAGAGGAAGGAGAAGUCGUAACA